GGCAUUGUUUUAUCACAACCGUCAAGCAGAGCAUACACCUAUUUUGAAAAGCUUUUUACAGCUUUGAAUUAAGCACAAAUGAAGAAGUAAGAGGCUGCAUAAUCAGUGGCGCUAACAGAGCACUGCUCUGCAAGGCAAAGGCAGGGUUUUACCAUUAUGCUUUCAUUCAUGAACGGCACCAGCAAGGCACAGACUGUGAGCAAGGAGAGAAAGCCACCGCAAGAUACAGUUCAGGGAAACAACCAAGGAGAUCACCAGAGACCUGGAAGGAGAAUAAGAAGGAUCUUGCAAAGAACAGCUGAGACCUUUAGAAUUUCAUUCUCCUGGAGCAAGAAAAACAACGCGACAGGGGCGGGGAAGGCUGAUUUGUUUCAACUGAGUAAGCAUGACCAACCAAUCACUCUGGCAAUGUUGAUGUAAACUUUGGUCUUCUAAAAAUCGCAGAAAGGGUGCUGCGUCUCUUUUCUGUCCGUCUCAGGUGAUGUCAAUGGGCUCGGCUCCUCUGUAGCCACUGUCCACGUUAAUCAUGCCGUGGAUGUGUUUCCGGCAAAGCCAGCAGAGGGAGUUCGAGAUUAAUGGGUGGGUUCCAGGAUCUACCAAGAGAACCAUCCUCCGUGUUCAGGACCUCCCAAUCCGAUUCCAUGAGGGAAGAGGCAUGCCCCAAAGUGGGUCAAACAUUAAAAACCAUGCUGAAUGAAAGAAUUUUGAAUGCUUCAGAUCUAAUGCUGGAGGGAAGUCUGCUGAAAUAGACUUCUAAAUGUCUAAAGCUGCAAUCUCAGCACAGACAGUCCAUUUAAUGUCCGGAUUCCUUCUUUCCUUCCAUUUCUGAGGGACAGAGGCCAACACGAGAGCGUAACUAUUUUAUGUCAUUUCUUGCUCCAAACACACAUCCACCCUAUGCACCGAGGUUGCUCCUUGUUUCCGGCCUUUAUCCAGUGCCAGUUUUCCUCAGAUGGUGAGGACCUCCCGCGGGUGCAAACCACGGCAAGAACACAGCCGACGACACGAGCAUUUGUGCCUGGAGAAGUCUGGAAAGCAUUCCCGGAGACGUGUGUAGAACAGCAGCUUCCAGCACAAAGAUCCGUCACUCAUGAGGUCAAGGCUCAAGUCUUAGAUGAAAUGAGAGCCAUGAGCUAGAGGAAAGCUCACGCUCUGAUGGGAUUCUGUUUUCUCUGUACACUAGUAAAGUUGUCGCUUCUUAUUUACUCUGCAAUUUACCAAACUCCUCGCCUCUUCCCCUCAACUUAUGCAAUAGCCUGGGGGGCUGAGAAGGCUGAAGGCUGCUCCCCAGGAAUACCCAACCCUCUCUUCCUGUGCAACACAGUGUAACUUCUCCCACCUGCUCUUAGACCCUUGGCUACAAGAUUCAGUUCACAUCUCUCCUCACUGAAUAUACAGUUAACCCUAGAACAACCCGGGUUUGCAUUACACGGGUCCACCUACACAUGGGUUA